GUCACAGGAAGAGUAGGACGUCACGGCGGCGCCUCGUCGUACGCAGUUGACGUCAGGAGCUCGGCGCCCGGGCUUUUUGCAAAAUUGUAAUAGGAUUUGGGAGCCCGCAAACCUGGUCCUCGGAGCCUAGCACGAGUCAGAACCGCUAGCUGUUUGCUUCCUAGGGCGCAAGGACUGCAGCUGAUACCUUCAGCCGUUUGCAUUAUUAACAUGGGAUUUAUUUGGAGUGAGUUUACUGGGGACUUAACCUGAAGGUGAUGAAGAUAUUGAACCUCACCCCCGCCCCGGGCACUGGCAGUUGGUACAGCAUCGCAUGUGGAAGUUCCUGGGCCAGGGAUGGA